AGGCCGUUCAUCGCCUGGCAGUUCUUGUCACCGUGGUAAGUGCAAGUUUACUGAGCGCUAAAUGAAUAACGGGAUCAUUUUAUUAGCAAGCGUCGUCUUGCUCAUGAUAGGCGAACUUAGCUGCACGAUCCCUAUGGGGAACAACGACGCAGAUAAGCUGUUGCAGCAAACGAGUGUGAAAUAUGGUUUAUAUAACAAAACUGGCAAUCCUUUUCUUGAUUUAAAAUUUGACUGCAUUACGCUCGAAACGACCGGAGGACACUCUCCAUACAACGUAAUGAUUGACUGUGCUAACAAUACUAACAAAACGACAUGGGAAACAUUACUGUAUUUAGCGAACACAUCACGGGCUGAAAGAUCGUCAGUGAACAAUAUGAUUACUUUUACGCCUCAUGAGAAUAAAUCUAUCGCAUCACCUGAAAGCGCGAUGUUAUAUGAACUAGUGUUCGCUGUUGACGGAAAAUGUUUCGUUCUGUUUUAUAAAACUACCUCUAACCCGAAAAGUUGCUACCUCUGGAAAAGAAUUCAAAACGAUACUUGCCCAAUUUCCGCCGUAGAUGGCACAGCUUGUGAUAUUAAAUACAGGAAUUGCCAUACGUAACCUAGCCAACAGUAACUGCAACCCUAUAUGUCAUUGGACAAGGAAGAGGAGCCCGUACAAAUAUAACUUCAAGCGCCGAAAUUUCAUUGGUAUCCCUUGCCAGAAAAUGAAAGACAAAAUGAUAGAAUGAGAAAUGACAUAAGAGAACCUUCUUGCCUUCAUUCUUUUUGGAAGUAAAUGUCUUGCUUG